rnacentral:lncRNA from 1 species
GAUGUGCAGCGGAUUUCCAAAACGGAAGUUUUCACCACUGAAUAAUGCAGAGAUGAUUUUGUUCUGAUGCUCACGGUUGUUUUCAGGAAAGUGAGGCAAGAAUGUUUUUAGGUGUUCCUGCUGUGCAUCUGUCAGCACCUCCUGCCAUGUAGACAAGCUGACAACUUCAAAGAAGAUCUCAGGGUCCUCCAGAAGGUCCUCGGGCAGACUGACUCUGGUUGUACCCAGCAGGCAGUCCUCCAUGAUCCGUGCCCCAUUUCCAUCCCCGCACGGCCCCAGCUCUAAGGGAUCUGUCAGCAUGUGAUCCAGAGAGUCCAUUCUUCUCUUUCCAGCUC